UACGUAGGGGCCGAGCGUUGUCCGGAGUUAUUGGGCGUAAAGCGCGCGCAGGCGGCUUGGCGCGCCCGACGUGAAAGCCCCCGGCUUAACCGGGGAGGGUCGUCGGGUACGGCCAGGCUUGAGGGCGGGAGAGGGUGGUGGAAUUCCCGGUGUAGAGGUGAAAUUCGUAGAUAUUGGGAAGAAUACCGGUGGCGAAGGCGGCGCUCUGGACCGAGACUGACGCUGAGGCGCGAAAGCGUGGGGAGCGAACAGG
rnacentral:rRNA from 1 species